UACGGAGGAUGCGAGCGUUAUCCGGAUUUAUUGGGUUUAAAGGGUGCGUAGGCGGCUUUUUAAGUCAGCGGUGAAAUUUUGCAGCUUAACUGUAACAGUGCCGUUGAUACUGGGGAGCUAGGAUUUGGUUGCUGUGGGUGGAAUGUGUGGUGUAGCGGUGAAAUGCUUAGAGAUCACACAGAAUAUCGAUUGCGAAGGCAGCUCACAAAGCCAAGAUUGACGCUGAGGCACGAAAGCGUGGGGAGCAAACAGGAUUAGA
rnacentral:rRNA from 1 species